AGUUUGAUCCUGGCUCAGGAUGAACGCUAGCUACAGGCUUAACACAUGCAAGUCGAGGGGAAACGAUAUUGGAAGCUUGCUUCCGAUAGGCGUCGACCGGCGCACGGGUGAGUAACGCGUAUCCAACCUGCCCAUCACUUGGGGAUAACCUUGCGAAAGUAAGACUAAUACCCAAUGAUAUCUCAAGAAGACAUCUGAAUGAGAUUAAAGAUUUAUCGGUGAUGGAUGGGGAUGCGUCUGAUUAGCUUGUUGGCGGGGUAACGGCCCACCAAGGCUACGAUCAGUAGGGGUUCUGAGAGGAAGGUCCCCCACAUUGGAACUGAGACACGGUCCAAACUCCUACGGGAGGCAGCAGUGAGGAAUAUUGGUCAAUGGGCGAGAGCCUGAACCAGCCAAGUAGCGUGCAGGAUGACGGCCCUAUGGGUUGUAAACUGCUUUUAUAAGGGAAUAAAGUGAGCCUCGUGAGGCUUUUUGCAUGUACCUUAUGAAUAAGGACCGGCUAAUUCCGUGCCAGCAGCCGCGGUAAUACGGAAGGUCCGGGCGUUAUCCGGAUUUAUUGGGUUUAAAGGGAGCGUAGGCCGGAGAUUAAGCGUGUUGUGAAAUGUAGACGCUCAACGUCUGCACUGCAGCGCGAACUGGUUUCCUUGAGUACGCACAAAGUGGGCGGAAUUCGUGGUGUAGCGGUGAAAUGCUUAGAUAUCACGAAGAACUCCGAUUGCGAAGGCAGCUCACUGGAGCGCAACUGACGCUGAAGCUCGAAAGUGCGGGUAUCGAACAGGAUUAGAUACCCUGGUAGUCCGCACGGUAAACGAUGGAUGCCCGCUGUUGGUCUGAAUAGGUCAGCGGCCAAGCGAAAGCAUUAAGCAUCCCACCUGGGGAGUACGCCGGCAACGGUGAAACUCAAAGGAAUUGACGGAAGGG
rnacentral:rRNA from 1 species